rnacentral:rRNA from 1 species
AUUGAACGCUGGCGGCAUGCUUUACACAUGCAAGUCGAACGGUAACAGGCUGUAGGGUGCUGACGAGUGGCGAACGGGAGAGUAAGGCAUAGGAACGUGCCCAGAGGUGGGGGAUAAGGCAGCGAAAGGUGUGCUAAGAUCGCAUGGGAUCUGAGGAUGAAAGCGGGGGAGCGGGCAGGAAUGUUUGGCCUCGCGCCGCUGGAGCGGCCGAUGUCAGAUUAGGUAGUUGGGGGGGUAAAGGCCCACCAAGCCGACGAUCUGUAGCUGGUCUGAGAGGACGACCAGCCACACUGGGACUGAGACACGGCCCAGACUCCUACGGGAGGCAGCAGUGGGGAAUUUUGGACAAUGGGCGCAAGCCUGAUCCAGCCAUGCCGCGUGCGUGAAGAAGGCCUUCGGGUUGUAAACCGCUUUUGUACGGAACGAAAAGGCUCUGGCUAAUACCUGGGGCUGAUGACGGUACCGUAAGAAUAAGCACCGGCUAACUACGUG